AUCUCAAAAGUAAUUAUCCUGAGUGAAAUUGUUCUAUUCCAAGCUAGAGAAGAGAGCGUAAGCUGCCUGAUUCCGUGUAUGUCAGCUUUUAGAAAAUGCAAACUCAUCUAAGGAGACAGAAAGCAGGUUGGUGGUUGCCUGGGGAAGGGCGUGUAUGGGGGAGUGGGGGGGGUGAUGGGUAUGUUCGCUGUCUUGAUUGUGGUGAUGGUUUCACAGGCGCAGACCUGCAUCUUGUGUUCUUGGCGCCUCCCUGUGGCCAAAAGUGACAACUGCAGCAAUUGAGGAAUUCUAUGGUAAAGCAGGGACCCUUCUCCGGUAGUCUGUGGAGCUGGUGAGGCCACGCCCACCACUCAGGGACCAGGUUUUCCUUUUUGGAGGUGUUAGGGGUUGAACCCAGGCAAGCACCCCACCCCCGACCUACAUCCCCACACCAGGGGCCAAUUUUCUUUUUACAACAUCUUCUUCCAUCAUUUUUGCUGGAACCUUUGGCCAGUCUACAGCAAAUAGACCCUAACUGGAUCCAAAGGAGAUGGAGAAGGCAAACCCACUGGGAGUGACUCCCCCACCCCCACCAUGCCUCGAAGCCUACAUUCUUCUAGAGCUUCUGACAGCAGCAUUUCCACAGAUGGAUGGCAGAUCGACUGACCAACUGACCCACCGGUCAGCUCCCCACCUGCUCAAAGCUCUGACUUGUGGCUUAGGAACUUACCUCACUUUCUCCAGACAAGCUCAUCUUUAACUUGUGACUCAGUGAAACUGCCUUCAAAGCUGGGAGUGGUUCCCUGGGGACAUCUGGCUACAGCUGAAAUUGCCCAUCUCUCACUGUUCCUAAUAAGGCCCACAGAUUAUAAAUUUCAAACUGUCCCAGUAGGAUGUGCUCAGCAUGGCUAAUGAAGGAUUUCAGCCUUUGGCCAAAAAUGGCAGAGUUACUUGAAAUCAAAGUGUCUCAUUUAAGAGUAAUGAUUCUUUUAACAAGGCGCCUGGAGAAUAAAACUAGAUGGCCUAAGAUAAAACACGAGUCCUUGAUCUAUUUGCAGUGGAGACACUUUCCCAGUUUUCAAUGUUAUGACCUCUUUUUU
rnacentral:lncRNA from 1 species